CGGAAGGGGCUAGCGUUGCUCGGAAUUACUGGGCGUAAAGGGCGCGUAGGCGGACGACUCAGUCAGAGGUGAAAGCCCAGGGCUCAACCCUGGAAUUGCCUUUGAUACUGGUCAUCUUGAGUACGGGAGAGGUGUGUGGAACUCCGAGUGUAGAGGUGAAAUUCGUAGAUAUUCGGAAGAACACCAGUGGCGAAGGCGACACACUGGCCCGUUACUGACGCUGAGGCGCGAAAGCGUGGGGAGCAAACAGGAUUAGAUACCCUGGUAGUCCACGCCGUAAACGAUGAGUGCUAGUUGUCGGCAUGCAUGCAUGUCGGUGACGCAGCUAACGCAUUAAGCACUCCGCCUGGGGAGUACGGUCGCAAGAUUA
rnacentral:rRNA from 1 species